AAGAACUGGCUUUUGUUCAGCCCUUAGGGAAGAAAGCCUGUGGCCUUUAGCAAGCAAGGAUGGGGGUGUAACCAGGCUCAUCAGACCUCCCAUCCCCUCACAGCCACAGACCCAGCUUUAAGGUUACUCUGGGGCCCCCUUGGCCAAGAGGAGAGUCUGUUCGUUUCCCAGAUGGAAGAUUCAUUCUUACUGCAGAUCUUAGCAACCUCAGCACAUGACUCUUUUUCUUUCCUCAUUAAGUCAAGAACCUUUGGCCUUUUCACUUAAAAGAAGCACUCUAAGGCUUCGCUUUGACAUACCCCAGUUGCCAGCAUCACUACUGUUUGGGACCAUUAGGAAGUAAAUUCAGGGAGACUUGAACACAAGCACUGCUUAUCUCGAAAGCUGAUCUGCUCACCGAGGUGGCCCUUGAGCAUGGACAGCCUGGAUCUGCUGGGUGAAGGGAGAAGUUAUGUCCAGGGUGGGACAGAGAGGAUGGCGAGAGAUUUCCUCACUACUCAGAACAGCGGGAAAUUCAAAACUUAGGGAUUAUUUCUGAAAUUUUCCAUUUAAAAUUGACCAAGGGUAACUGAAACCAGAGAAAGCAAGACUGACGAUAAGGGAGGGGCCUCCUGUACUCCAAGAGCACUGAAUCUGGAAAAACUCAACACAUCGAUGGAGUCAUAUAUUUAAUUUUUUCUUAAAAGCCACCUGUGGGGUAUUGUAGAAACGCUGCGCUGCCUAUCACAGCUUGUGAUGUGACACGUUCAUUCUGCAAGUUUAAACUUCGCCUAGGUGUUUCUUUUCCUGUGUGACCGUCACAUAACUAGUUUUGUUGUGCAUUGUUGUAGAAGUUAACAUGUUUCCCUAUCAAAAGAAUGUCAUCCUCUAUUUUCUCUGUUUCUUUUAAGCUUUUUUCAUAUAGUUGGCCUUUUGUUAAUGGUCAGCAUUUAUGGCUUUUUGCAGACAGCAUCUCUUUGAGCAACAAUUUCUUGAAAUAAAAAAAUAUAUUCUUGGCCAGGCGUGGUGGCUCACGCCUGUAAUCCCAGCACUUUGGGAGACCAAGGUGGAUGGAUCACUUGAGAUCAGGAGUUCAAGACCAGCCUGAUCAACAUGGCGAAACCCCAUCUCUACUAAAAAUACAAAAAUUAGCCGACCGUGCUGGUGUGCACCUGUAAUCCCAGCUACUUGGGAGGUUGAGACAGGAGAAUCACUUGGACCUGGGAGGCAGAGGUUGCAGUGAGCCAAGAUGGUACCACUGCACUCCAUCCUGGGCAACAGAGCAAGACUCUGUCUCAAAUAUAUAUAUAUUUUCGCUAGUUGGCUUUAGACUCUUGACCCCAGCUUAUAGUUGUUUUUGUUAAAGACCUGUAUUAUUAUGGUCUCUCCAUGGGAAUUAUGGUUUUAAAAUUAUUUUAUUCAUUCAGCAAAUCUUUAUGAGCAUCUACUAUGCAUCAUGCUGUUCUCGUGAACAAAACAAGAUCCAUAUCCUAAGGGAGUGUGCCUUCCAGCAGAGAAAGACGGCAAUGUGUAAGGAGCGUCAGAAGAAGAUGUUGUCUUUUGUGUGUAGAAAGUGGUAUGUAAAAGUGAAAAAUAAAAAGAAAUAGAGCAGAAUCAGGGACGGAGGUGUGGGGCAAAUUGUAAUUUUGAAUAGGGUAGUCAGGGUCGGCACUGUUGAAAGCCUGACGUGAGCAAAGCGAAGAAAGAGGUGAGGGAAUUAGCCACAAAGAUUUCUGGGGACAGAGUGUUCCAGCCUGUGCAAAGGCCCGGAGGUGGGUGUGUGCCUCGUGUGCUAGAGAACAGCUGGCCUGGCUGGAGAGGAGUAAGCCAGAGGGAGGACAUUUGGAUAUGAGCUCAGAUCGGUUCUUGGGGAAAAGCUGUGCUUCAGAGACAAGGUUGAAGAACUUCGCCUGCAUAUGAUGGAAGAUGACAAUGGGAACCACAGGUGUCAUUGGUGGCUUUGUUUUACAAAGUCUUCACCUUUCUGCCGAGUCACGGGACUAAGUUCAACUCAAUUUCUACUUUCCGCCUUCCUUUGGAAUAAUAGUUUUGGAAGCCAAGUAUUAGUAUAUGAUAUCAGGUGUGUUUUCUAAAGAUUCAAGUUCAGUGGGCUGAAUGCACUUUCGUGACUUCAUUAGACCACUGAGCCCAAGGAGAAAAGUGCCAAUCUUACUAGACAUGAGGAAAAAGACACAUCUUUUGCUCUUGCUGGAAGUGGUGUCCUACUUUCUACAAGCAGUCGUCAUCUGGUUUAUACUUGCCUUGUUCAGUUUUUGUGUGAUAUUUUAUUCUCUGCCUAAUAGAUAUUAAAGUAUCAAGGUGUC